AUAAUCCGCCGCGUUUAAGGUGCCUUUGAUUCUAAAAACAUUGCAUUUUAGUUCAGGUUAAACGGGAAGUUGGUGAAUGUUGAUAUCUGUUUUAAACGAUAAAAACACAAUGCCCACGCUGCCCCCGCAACGGUAAGUAAGUAAACGCUUUAUAAAGUAAUUGGCCACUGUUCUGCUGAAUGGGAAGGCGAUAAAGCGCAUCAUGAAAAAUUGAUAACUUAUGAGCCCGGAUACCGGCCUUUUUCUGGUGCUGGUC
rnacentral:ncRNA from 2 species